GCAUGGAUGGUUCAGUGGUAGAAUUCUCACCUUCCGUGCAAGAGACCUGGGUUUGAUUCCCGGCCAAUGCA
rnacentral:tRNA from 1 species